CUAAGCAUGGGGAGGGUGGUACUUAGUGCAAAGGUGGAGAAAAUGAGGGUGCAGAGAAGAUCAACAAUUAGCCAAUUUGGUUUUAGCCAAAUAACAGCUCCCGCAAUCAUCACCCCGACAGAUUGAAUUAGGUCGGCCAUGACAUGCAAGUAAGCUCCUUGGAGAUUUAUGUUCAAUAUCUUUGUCUUCGGAGUACUUGUUACUAGACUAGUUUCAUCUUCCUCGGUUAAAUCGCAUGGUUUACCACCCUCAUGGUCAUGAUGUUCGUGGUGGUGGUGGUGGUCAUGCAGGUGUUCGUGGUGGUGGUGGUGGUCAUGCAGGUGUUCGUGGUGGUGGUGGUGGUCAUGCAGGUGUUCGUGGUGGUGGUGGUGGUCAUGCAAGUGUACGUGGUGGUGGUGGUGGUGAUUGUUUCCGAAAACAUGGUGACUGUGAUCAUGACCCAGCCAAAGGACUAUAAUCAAGUUGAUAAAAAAUCCAAAUGCAGCAAUAGCAAACAUGAG
rnacentral:lncRNA from 1 species